ACAAUCCCUUCAGUCAGCGCGAGAGUGCGGUAGGAGGCGGACUGUACGCUCUCCUCUUCCCUCACCUCCCUCAGUGCUUCAUGUAAUCCGGAGCUCUUCUUACCACACUUGUGUUUAAGCAACAUGAACUUCUCCUUCGCCGGUUGCGGCUUCCUUGGGAUAUACCAUGUCGGGGUGGCCGCUUGUCUUAAGAAAUAUGCGCCAAAUUUGUUAUUGAAUAAGAUAUCUGGAGCUUCUGCAGGAGCGCUGGCGGCCGUGUGUUUACUCUGUGAUUCACCUCUAGGUACCAUUACAUCGUCAGUAUUAAAGACCGCGACUGAGGCCAGAAGACGGACCCUGGGCCCCUUCAGCCCCACCUUCAAUAUAGAGAAGCUUCUCAGAGAGGGACUUCUUAGUGUUCUUCCUGAUGAUGCUCACCUCAUAGUGAGUGGGAAGCUGUUCAUCUCCGUCACCAGGAUCAGUGAUGGCAAGAACAUCCUUCUCUCCCAGUUUGACACCAAAGAAGAUCUCAUACAGGCCCUGAUUUGCUCGGCGUUCAUACCUGGGUUUAGUGGCUGGGCUUGCCCAAAAGUACAAGGUAUACGUUACAUUGAUGGGGGCUUCUCCAACAACCUUCCCGAGAUGGACGAGAAUACAGUCACGGUUGCACCAUUCUGCGGCGAGGCUGAUAUCUGCCCAAAGGACAGUACAGCAGGACUAAUGACGAUCAACCUUGCUAACACAAGUAUUGAACUCAGUAAAGAAAACUUGUAUCGCUUUGCCCGUAUACUGUUCCCGCCCCCACCUAAAGUUCUUAACAAGAUGUGUCAGCAAGGGUUCAAUGAUGCCCUGGAUUUCCUCCAAAGAAACAAUCUAAUCAAUUGCACACGAUGCCUCGCAGUUCAGUCUAGAUUUAAUUUGACGGAAUCCCAUGAGGCUCAUAAUGGGUCGGUGCACGAGAUGGACUGUUUCGACUGUCAUCAACAAAGAAAGGAAGCCAUCAUUGAUCAGUUGCCAGAAGCAGUUGGAAGUAUUCUCCAAGAUGCUAUUAACAAGGCCAACCAAGGUCUCAUGAACUGGGUCUUCAAACACAAGUCCAUGAAGCUCCUCUCCAUAUUAACAUUGCCUUAUGUCUUACCCUUUGAUGUUGCCUAUGCCGCUUUCCUCAAGUUCAUGGGUUCAGCCCCAACAGCCAGUGAUAUCAAGAACUUGGCCAAUCAAAUUAUCUCCCUGGUGCAGGCUCUUAUCCGAUCAUCAAAACAGUCUCCCUUGCACCAUCGACACCGACACGAGAGCAAGUUCUCUUGCCAGUUGGCCAUCACUCAAUUCUCAGGCGAGGUGGAGAUGCAGCACCUCCAAAACCGUCACAACUUUGACUUCACUCUUGAUCUGGAUGAUGUGAAGGGAGUGCCACAAAGUCACAAGGAUGCCAUGCAGUUGGAAUCACAAGCCUUGACUGAGGUUGCUCUACGCUGUGCCUCACGGUCCAUAUCUCGAGCAGGUUCUCGCAUGGCAUCUCGUGCUGCUUCCCGAGCUGUCUCGAGAGCGGUGUCUCGUAGACCAUCGCUGAAUGAUGUGUCCGACCCCAGUCUUUAUGAUUUAGUUGAUGAAAUUCCUACGGGACAUAUUAGUGAUGAUGCUUUUGAACAAAUUCUGGAUGUUACAACUCACCAAGAAGCCCUGAUGGCAUAUUACUAUUUGGAUGACAACAAUGAGGUUCAAGUCACCGAGAUCUUUGACUUGACGAGGGAUGAAAACAGUGCAGCUGACGAUGGAGGGAUAGAGAUGGAUAACAGUCACUGGGACUUACAAAGAGAGAUGCAGACAAGGCCCUGGUCUUUAAACAUGCGUAAUGACUCCAUUAGUUCGGAGCGAGGCUUUGAGGUGGAGGUUACUGUGGCUUCUGACACGGAGUCUGAGCACUACCACAGGUGAGUGUGACCCUUGUGGUUGUGUGCCCUCUGCCUCUCACCACUCACUACUAGAGGGAACAUUGACCCUGAGGCAGACCAAGUUGUUGCGGGAGCAUCAUCAUCAUCACGACAGACUGCCUCGCACUUCAACUCCAGUACACAUUGAACAUAAAAAUAUAAUCUUCCAGUCAAGACAAUCGACUUGAGAAUGGUCCAGGACGGACCGAAACAUCGUCGUCCCUUUACUUUCUAGUGUGUGGGUUGGUCAACAUAUUUCAGCCAUGUUAUUGUGACUCCUCGUCUGCAUAUAAUCUUCCAUUUUUUAUCUGAAGUAUUUAUGUUACAUUUUCAAAAUGGGAAAUAUCGUUCCCAUGAAAGGUGCUAUUUUAUGAUAAUUUUUAGUAUACUGUAUGUAGAUUAUGUAAAUGUGUCUUGUAGGAGUCAGUUGUGUAUUAAAAGAAUCUACCUAUAUUAUUGCAAUACAGUAUUUAUAAAUGCAUAAUACAUUUUGCUGUAUCAGCAAACAUAUACUGUAGCUAAAUAUUUAUGUAAAGGAUAAACUAUGCUAGAUUAUUUGAUUUGCUAUAAUUGUCCGCAAUUUAGUUUAUCCCUCUACUAGUAAGAAGAGAGCAAAGUUUUUUUUUCAUACUGUACCUCAGCCAUGAAGAACCUCUAGCAAACAAUUGGAACCUGGCCUCUUUGGGGAGGUUUAAUGUAGAAAUAUCACACAAAAUGUAUUUUUCCUAAUAACCAUUAGAAUUCUCCAAUUUAAAAAAAAAAAAUACACAAUGUACAUACUCAGUGGAACCUCAGUAGUCCAGAUUGUGAUGAACUGGAAUUGUUAACCUUCAAAUAUCUUCUGGGAUGUUGUUUACUCAUGCUAGAACAUGAAGGUAGUUCGGAGAGAUUCUCUCAGCCGAACAUCACAAAUACAGUACUGUACCACCACUUGUUUUUGGCUUCAUUUAUUUGUUAUAUACAUUAUUAAAAAUGACUAAAAUAUUAGUACACUCAUACAGUAGUAACUAUUCCCCCUAGUUUAAUGAAAUUUGUAUUUGUAUGGUAUCAGCAAGUGAAGUUGAUAAACAUGAGACGAGAUAAUUCUAUGACAUACAGAGCAGCUCCCCAGGUAAAUGUUAUGUGACGUAAGAACCAACAUGUAGGUUAAUGGUUGGAAAGAAUUUGCUAUUAGAAUAAAUCUUGGGCAUCUGCUGAAGUCUUUUUAAACAGACCAGAAUAACUCUGCAUUAGAAAUACCAGCAAAGAGUCUGGUGUUGGAGAAGCCAUGAUAAAUUUACUGCUCAAUAGACUAGAAUUUUUGUUUUUUCUCCUCUUUGCACCAUAACUGCUGCUGAGACAUAGAUAGCAAUGGAAUUAAAGGAAAAAGAAUGCAAUGCUAUGUAUCCAGGCACAAAUUCUUUGUGCCUGGACUGAGCACAAGGUUCUUGUAAAUUCAUGCACAAUGAUGGUUUAUGCAAAUUGGUAAUUUGUUAUCCCAAACCAUUUUAAUUGAAUAUAGGCCUAUUCAAACAAUAGUUGAUUUAAUUGGAGUAGAGUUCUUUUUAGUGGUCCCUCUCUAUAAUGAUUAUCAUCACUCGAGCAAAACACAUACAUGACCAUCUUAAAUACUGUACAUUAAAUAUGUUUAUAAAUUUAUUAAUGCAAGAAUAUAAAAAGUAUCAACCAGGAAAUAGUUAAGUAUUUAGCAGUACUGGUGCAACGAUGGAUGCCUAAAGCUUGCUCACCAUCAGCUAUACUUAGCCUAGCCCAGCCUAACCUAGCCUCCUCCAGGUUUAUCUGACUUCCUCCAGCUUUACUUAGCCUUGUUUAACCAAGUUUUCACAUAAUAUCUUCUGUCAUGGACUAGUAUGAAUAAUUAGGGUUUGCAAUUUAUUCUCAGUUUGAAAGCCCCAAACCAUUUAGUCAAAAAGCACCAAAGACAUUUUUAGUCCGGAAACCAUGAUAAUUUGGAUGGUGUUUGAUCUUAAUUGGAGCAUAUUAUUGAUGUUCCAUGUAUUUACUAGUGGGAACUCCAGGUCCAGCCCACAAGGCAGGUUUCCUCAUACUUUAUGAAGAGAAAGAGUUGUUGACCGAGGCAUUUGAUAUGUCAUUUUUUCUGAUCUCAAAUACUGAAACAUUCCAAGUUAUUCUCGUCAAGGUGUACAAUACGUGCUAGAUAAAACCCAAAAGCUAAUACAAAAGAUUAGAUACAUAUAACACAAAAUACAUUAUUUUGUUAUAACUUGUAGCAUGUACCUUCCAAUAAUGGGGUUAUUACUCUCUACCUUCCAAUAAUGGGGUUAUUACUCUCUACCUUCCAAUAAUGGGAUUAUUACUCUCUACCUUCCAAUAAUGGGGUUAUUACUCUCUACCUUCCAAUAAUGGGGUUAUUACUCUCUACCUUCCAAUAAUGGGGUUAUUACUCUCUACCUUCCAAUAAUGGGGUGAUUACUCUCUACCUUCUAAUAAUGGGGUGAUUACUCUCUACCUUCCAAUAAUGAGGUUACUCUCUACCUUCCAGUGAUCAGGACUGUUGUUCUGUUACAUUACAAAGUGUGCCAAACUGAUAGAUGUUAACCACUUUCCAUAUGAUAUUUCAUAUACAGUACAAUAAUGUGAAAUCAAUUUGUAUACAUAUUAAGUACCGAGCCUGUGUGCUGCCUGGGAACUUUUAUUGUAAAUUUAAGAUCCCAAUAAUUUACAGUAAGCAAAAUGUACUUAAACUCAAUUUUUCAUUCACAGUAAUUAAACAUUUUGGCUCUACUUAAGUUGUCAGGAGUCUACACUCUACAGCAACAGCUCACAACUGGGGGUUCUGGGUUACAUUUUCACCGAGACAUACAGUUGAGCAUAUUUAUUUUCACCUGAUGCCUAUAUUCACCUAGCAGUAGAGUUACGCACACAAUCUUACAAGAAGUAGUACGACUUAUUUGGAAAGUAUUCCAUUCUAAUCAAGAGAUAUUCUAAAUAUACUUUAAAGUAAAAUUUUUAGACACGACAGGAUUUAUGUGCUGCUCCCCUGGUCUCUUGUUACUAUUGUGUAAGUGGUUAAUAAAGUGUAUUUAUGACAUCCAGUUGCAAUCCAGGAAAAGGCCUAAUAUAACAGGGAUCAUUGUUUUUUUUAAAAAGCAUUGUUCACAGUUUAUGACCAAGUAAAUUUUGGUAUAGGGAUAAUACUAUAUUAGUAUACUGGGGUGUUGGCUCACCUUGGCUCUAAAUGAAAAAAAAAAGGUCUAAUAAAUACUACUGAAGAGGAAUUUUCCUAUGGGUCAAUAUUUUUGUGUGUGUGGGGGGGUUAAACAUCCCAGGGCACUAACGCACGGUUCAGUACACAACUGUAGUUUUUGGUACUAUUGGACAGUCAUGGGUUAUUAAUACUGUUUCAUCGUCCUAGAAUAAUCUUCCUCACUUCUGAAAUCCCUCCAAAUGAGCAUUGAGCACCAUAAAGAAUAAAAUGUAAAUGUUUUUUGAAGGGUCAUUUGUUGACCAAGUAGUCCUGCACUAACCUUAUAUUUUAGUUAUUUGGUGUAAUUAUAACAUUACUUGUCAAUUUGGUAUAAUUAAAGCCCUUUAAUUAUUUAAACUAUGCUUCCAAUGUGUAUUUCAAUAAUGCCACAAGGGCUUACUCCGUAUUUUUCUCUUAAAUGCUUAACAUCCAACUACGGCAAUAUGUACUUGUAUUGGCUCCAUGAUGAAUAUAUUUUCCUUUUAGGUUUUCACUUACUAAAGAUGGAUGUUCAAAAUAUAACUUGAUAAAUCAACUAGUUAAAAAAAAAAAAAAAAAAUUUUUAGCUUGUUUAAUGUUUAAAACUAAAUUAAAAGUUUGUCUUCCACAUUGUUAUUAAAAGGUUAAUAUGUAUAUGAGGUUAAAUUGAACUACACCUACAAAAUAUAGGCUUAAUUUGUACUGGAGUGUAUUGUGUAGUGCUGUUGCUGUGAUGUAAUACUCUAGGUAAAGCCAUUUAUGAAGCAAGUCUCACCUAUUCUCAGAUUUGUUAAACUGACUCUCUCAGUUUAAGAGGAUCUUGGGGGAUAAAGUUGGAAUGUGGAAGUAGGGAAACAGACGAGAGGGGGAGAGACCCGGGUAGCCCAUCUAGCACUACAUAAAAUAUCUUUAUACAUACUGUAUAUCUAUAUCAGUGAAAAUUAUUGCCAAAAAUCAAUUAAAUUUAAUCUUAUUUAUUUAAACCUUUGGUAAAAAUGGGAACUUUUUACAGUACAAUAAAGAAACUACUAUUUCAUUGUGUCUAGUCUAGGUCUUGUAAGUUUUGGUUUGACUUCAAAUAUACUGUACUUUAAUAGUGCAUUACUAUUAUAUUUUCUGUUAUAAGAAUUUACUUAAAUUUAAAAAUUAAAAAAAAAAAAAUUUACCUAAAACCAGUAGUGUUUACAAAUUUAUAAGACACUGCAGGUAACUAAACAAUUUAGCCAGCACUAUUACCUGCACUUUACGUGCAACUAAAAAAUCUACUCAUUCUAGGAUUGGUUCACUCAUUCACUCUACAUCCCUGUAGAGUGCUUGGUCUAACAUCAAAAUUUGAUAAACUGAUAAUUUUUCUUUAGUUUUCUUUGCCAUGAGAACUCUCAUUCCUGCCAGUGAUCUCUUUAAAAUUAUUUAUUUGUUUUUCUCCGAGAACAGUACUAGUGCCAACCUCACAAUCCUUAGCCAUGAUCACUUUAGUACGUCAAAUAAAUCAUUUUAUCCAAGUUAUGCUACCUCGUCUUCCCCUUCUAGUCUGAAUAAUAUAACUCUCUCACUUCUUUUUCACUCAAAUGUAGCAAUAAAAAAAAUGAAAACCCUCAGGUAACAAUAGGUAAAAUAAUUUAUCAAAGCAAAACUAUAUUUUAUCGCUAAUAUUUAAUACUAAAGGAAAACAAUAAAAAAGUAAACAUUUACUGGCCAGCACUAGUUUGGCCAAGAGUUUCUCUUAUUAUGAAAUUUCAUGAAAGAGCGAUUCUUGUUAUGAACAUCGAACUAUUGUUCUAAUAAAAUCUUAAAAUUACUUUUUACGUAAUUACUAUAAUGAUCGUCUAAAUUAUUUAAGUCACAUUGCAUUAUUUCUUCAACUAUCAACAUAUAUUAUUUUCCAGUGCUAUGUACAGUAUUCAUUGUACAAUAUAUUCUUUGGCAGCUGUAAAUAUCUUAAUUACAUCACUUUGUACAUAUAAAAAUGUGUGCUUGAGGCAGUUAUUAAAAGUAAAUAUUCAGA
rnacentral:misc_RNA from 1 species